GGGCCGCUAGCUCAAGUGGUAGAGCAACGGCCUUUUAAGCCGUUGGUUCCAGGUUCGAGUCCUGGGCGGCUCACCA
rnacentral:tRNA from 2 species